AUUGAACGCUGGCGGCAGGCUUAACACAUGCAAGUCGAGCGGGGGAAGGUAGCUUGCUACCGGACCUAGCGGCGGACGGGUGAGUAAUGCUUAGGAAUCUGCCCAUUAGUGGGGGACAACAUCUCGAGAGGGAUGCUAAUACCGCAUACGUCCUACGGGAGAAAGCAGGGGAUCUUCGGACCUUGCGCUAAUAGAUGAGCCUAAGUCGGAUUAGCUAGUUGGUGGGGUAAAGGCCUACCAAGGCGACGAUCUGUAGCGGGUCUGAGAGGAUGAUCCGCCACACUGGGACUGAGACACGGCCCAGAAUCCUACGGGAGGCAGCAGUGGGGAAUAUUGGACAAUGGGGGGAACCCUGAUCCAGCCAUGCCGCGUGUGUGAAGAAGGCCUUAUGGUUGUAAAGCACUUUAAGCGAGGAGGAGGCUACUCUAGUUAAUACCUAGGGAUAGUGGACGUUACUCGCAGAAUAAGCACCGGCUAACUCUGUGCCAGCCGCCGCCGUAA
rnacentral:rRNA from 1 species